UUGUUGUUUUGUGUUACGGGCGUAUGGUGGAUGCCUUGGCAUGCUGGGCCGAUGAAGGACGUGUGAGGCUGCGUUAAGCCUCGGGGAGUUGCCAACAGUGCGUUGAUCCGAGGAUGUCCGAAUGGGGAAACCCAACACCAGUUGUGUGGUGUUACCUGCAGGUGAAUGCAUAGCCUGUGUGGAGGUGACGUGGGGAAGUGAAACAUCUCAGUACCCACAGGAGAAGAAAACAAUUUGUGAUUCCGUGUGUAGUGGCGAGCGAUAGCGGAUGAGGCUAAACCGUGUGCGUGUGAUACCUGGGUAGGGGUUGCGUGUGCGGUGUUGUGGGGUGUGAUCGUUGCGGGCUACCUGACCGCAAGAUGGUGUGUGUGCGUUAGCGGAAACGUCUGGGAUGGCGUGCCGGAGCGGGUGAUUAGCCCCGUACGUGAAGGCGUUGCAUGCAUUGUCUGAUCAUGUUUUCCCCGAGUAGCAGCGGGCUCGUGAAAUCUGCUGUGAAUCUGCCGGGACCACCCGGUAAGCCUAAAUACCCAGUGUGACCGAUAGUGAAUAGUACCGUGAGGGAAUGGUGAAAAGUACCCCGGGAGGGGAGUGAAAGAGUUCCUGAAACCAUGCGCUUACAAUCCGUCAGAGCACCGUUUGUGUGUGAUGGCGUGCCUUUUGAAGAAUGAGCCUGCGAGUCAGCGGCAUGUCGCGAGGUUAACCCGUUAUGUGGGGUAGUCGUAGCGAAAGCGAAUCCUAAGAGGGUGUCAAGUGGCAUGUCCUGGACCCGAAGCGGGGUGAUCUACCCAUGGCCAGUGUGAAGCAGCUGUAAGAGGUUGUGGAGGCGCGAACCCACUUAGGUUGAAAACUGAGGGGAUGAGCUGUGGGUAGGGGUGAAAGGCCAAUCAAACUCCGUGAUAGCUGGUUCUCCCCGAAAUGCAUUUAGGUGCAGCGUGAUGUGUGCUUACCGGAGGUAGAGCUACUGGAUGGCCGAGCGGGACUAUCAUCUUAGUGACGUCAGCCAAACUCCGAAUGCCGGUGAAGUUUGAGCAUUGCAGUGAGACUGUGGGGGAUAAGCUUCAUAGUCGAGAGGGAAACAGCCCAGAUCGCCGGUUAAGGCCCCUAAGGGUGUGCUAAGUGGAAAAGGAUGUGGGAUCGCGA
rnacentral:rRNA from 1 species